GGAAAAUGCAUGGAAAUAGAAAAUAUCAUCCCGAGUGAAGUAACCCAGACACCACAGGAGAUAUGUAUGAAUAUAUGGUAUGUACUCACUGAUAAGUGGAUAUUACACAAAAAGUUCAGAAUAUCCAUAAAGAAUUCACAGACCAUAUGAAGCUUAAGAAGAGGGAAAGCACAAAUGUGGAUGCUUCAAUCUCCAAUCUCACUUAGAACAUGGAACAACAUAAUCAUUGGAGGCAGAGGUUGCAAACCUGGAAACCACUUUUGGAAGGAGAGAAACAGCUUCUGAAAGUUGUCCCAUGACCUGCACGUUCAUGAUGUGACGUAUGCAACCACAGAAAUGAAAGCAUAUACAGAGAAACACAAAUGUAGUUACAUUUACAAAAGAAAUUCUGUAGUCUGGUAGAACUCAUUGUUAAAUCCAUCUAGUCCUGGACUUUUAUGGUACUUUCCCUGCCAUGAUACCAUUACCACAUUUCAAGAACAUGAGUUCUUAUAUUGGUUUUCUUUUAUCCCCUUCAUUUAAAUAUGUAGGUAAUAUAUACCUAUAAUUUUUUUCAGUUUCUUCAAGAUUUUAUACUGUUUGUAUUAUUAUUUCAGAAUAAUAUCUUAUGUUUCAUUGAAUUUCUUUGGUAUAUGUUGGACUAUACAUGC
rnacentral:lncRNA from 1 species